rnacentral:rRNA from 1 species
UACGUAGGUGGCAAGCGUUGUCCGGAUUUACUGGGCGUAAAGAGCGCGCAGGCGGUCGAGUAAGUCGAAUGUGAAAGCCCCCGGCUUAACUGGGGAGGGUCAUUCGAUACUGUUCGACUUGAAGGCAGGAGAGGGCAGCAGAAUUCCCGGUGUAGUGGUGAAAUGCGUAGAUAUCGGGAGGAAUACCAGUGGCGAAGGCGGCUGCCUGGUCUGUUCUUGACGCUGAGGCGCGAAAGCUGGGGGAGCAAACGGG